ensembl:misc_RNA Metazoa_SRP Metazoan signal recognition particle RNA
GCCAGGCGUGGUGGCUCACGCCUGUAAUCCCAGCACUUUGGGAGGCUGAGGUGGGUGGAUCACCUGAGGUCAGGAGUUCGAGACCAGCCUGGCCAACAUGGUGAAACCCCGUCUCUA